AGUCCAGGAAAUCCUGCCACAGUUGAAGAUAAAUGGUUUUACUGAGCUUCCAGACAAAACCUUCUUAAAUCUGCACAUUAGAAGAAACAAUAAGAAUAAUGGACCAAAAAGAUGUACCUAGUGUUUCCCUUCACCUUCCCAGAUGCAAAGCAAGGUACUGAAGAAUCACAAGAGGUGGAUGUUGGCAGGGAGCUCUGGAAGCUGUCAAGUCAGUCCUCUGCUCAGAGCAGCUGCAGCCAGGGCUGGUGUCCAGGGCUCUGCCUGGUCCAGCUUUGAAUAUCCUCAAGGGUGAAUACUCCAGAAUCUCUCUGGGCAACCUGUUUCAGUGUUUCACUACAGCCCAGUGAAAAAGUGCUCUCUUUUGUUUAAGGGGGAUUUUCUGGGUUUCAGGUUUUGCCUCUAGUCCUGUCACUGCAGAGAAGAGUCUGACUCAUUCUUCUUUCCUUCUCACCACAACUAUCAGAGAGGACAUGAAUUAUCAUUCUGACACCAGAUCUGAGUAAGCAGAUGCACUCCGUGUGAUCACACGUGUUCUGUUGCAGGAGGCAGCAGCUCCAGCACUUC